rnacentral:rRNA from 1 species
GAUGAACGCUGGCUACAGGCUUAACACAUGCAAGUCGAGGGGAAACGACGGGGAAGCUUGCUUCCCCGGGCGUCGACCGGCGCACGGGUGAGUAACACGUAUCCAACCUGCCUCUGACUGAGGGAUAACCCGUCGAAAGUCGGCCUAAUACCUCAUGGCAUCGUCUGCGGGCAUCCAACGACGAUUAAAGAUUUCAUCGGUCAGGGAUGGGGAUGCGUCUGAUUAGCUAGUUGGCGGGGUAACGGCCCACCAAGGCGACGAUCAGUAGGGGUUCUGAGAGGAAGGUCCCCCACAUUGGAACUGAGACACGGUCCAAACUCCUACGGGAGGCAGCAGUGAGGAAUAUUGGUCAAUGGGCGAGAGCCUGAACCAGCCAAGUAGCGUGCAGGAUGACGGCCCUAUGGGUUGUAAACUGCUUUUAUGCGGGGAUAAAGUGAGGGACGUGUCCUUCAUUGCAGGUACCGC